AAAUUGAAGAGUUUGAUCAUGGCUCAGAUUGAACGCUGGCGGCAGGCCUAACACAUGCAAGUCGAACGGUAACAGGAAACAGCUUGCUGUUUCGCUGACGAGUGGCGGACGGGUGAGUAAUGUCUGGGAAACUGCCUGAUGGAGGGGGAUAACUACUGGAAACGGUAGCUAAUACCGCAUAAUGUCGCAAGACUAAAGAGGGGGACCUUCGGGCCUCUUGCCAUCGGAUGUGCCCAGAUGGGAUUAGCUAGUAGGUGGGGUAACGGCUCACCUAGGCGACGAUCCCUAGCU
rnacentral:rRNA from 1 species